rnacentral:rRNA from 1 species
GAAUAAAAAAUCCUCCGAGCGAUUUUAAAGACUAGACCUACAAGUCAACUCACUUAAUCGCUUAUUGAUCCAAAAAGCUUGAUCAACGGAACA